rnacentral:rRNA from 1 species
CCUACGGGAGGCAGCAGUGGGGAAUAUUGGACAAUGGGGGGAACCCUGAUCCAGCGACGCCGCGUGAGUGAAGAAGUAUUUCGGUAUGUUAAGCUCUAUCAGCAGGGAAGAAAGGCAUGACGGUACCUGACUAAUAAGCCCCGGCUAACUACGUGCCAGCAGCCGCGGUAAUACGUAGGGGGCAAGCGUUCUCCGGAUUUACUGGGUGUAAAGGGCGCGUAGGCGGUUAAGCAAGUCUGGAGUGAAAGGCGGGGGACCAACCCCCGGACUGCUUUGGAAACUGUAUGACUGGAGUGCAGGAGAGGUAAGUGGAAUGCGUAGUGUAGCGGUGAAAUGCGUAGAUAUUAGGAGGAACACCAGUGGCGAAGGCGGCUUACUGGACUGUAACUGACGUUGAGGCUCGAAAGCGUGGGGAGCAAACAGGAUUAGAUACCCGAGUAGUC